rnacentral:rRNA from 1 species
UACGUAGGGGGCAAGCGUUGUCCGGAUUUAUUGGGCGUAAAGAGCGUGUAGGCGGUUUGGAAGGUCCGCUGUGAAAACUCGAGGCUCAACCUCGAGACGCCGGUGGAAACCAUCAGGCUAGAGUCCGGAAGAGGAGAGUGGAAUUCCUGGUGUAGCGGUGAAAUGCGCAGAUAUCAGGAAGAACACCCGUGGCUAAGGCGGCUCUCUAGUACGGUACUGACGCUGAGACGCGAAAGCGUGGGGAGCGAACAGG